rnacentral:misc_RNA from 1 species
UUUCACCAACCAAUCAAAGUUAAUCAAAAUGUACGACGGCCAUUGGGUGAAAAUUUGGUUGUAAUACCAUAGUGAUAAACGAAGAACAGAAUGAAAAAAUCAUAGUUUGUUAGAAAUAAAUUCAUUCUACAACAAAUUGCGAAGAAGCAAGUUCGUGUAACCUGCACGCAUCACUAUGAGCUGAAAAAAUGGAAAAUAUCAAACAGACGCUAACGAUCGGUGACGACGGAUGGGAUUUCAUGCUAUGCGAGCGGGCGGAACUCGUGGUAAAGAGAGAGGAAGAGAAAGAAACGGAGGUGAGAGUGAAGGUCAAGAAAGAAAUAGAGGAAAAAGGAAAGGAAAAGAAUAAGAAUAGAAGAAAGAAUCAAAUAUAUAAGAAAUGAAGGAAAAAGGAGAGCAGAAAAAUAUAAAAAGAAGAAAGAAUAAGAAAUUGAAAAAAAAAUGUUCAGUUAUAAAUUAUCAAAAAAGAUAAAUAAAUAAAAAAAAUUAGAAUGUAGUAAAAAUAAUUAGGAUUAAAUUUAUAACGGUUAUGUGCUGCAUUAUUCACAAUUUUAUAA